GUUUUGCAUGACUGACGGAUAAUGUGGGUUACCACAGGGGAGUGCAAAAUCAGUAUCAGCCGACCGUCUGGGCAGU
rnacentral:ncRNA from 1 species